UACGUAGGGGGCUAGCGUUGUCCGGAAUCAUUGGGCGUAAAGCGCGUGUAGGCGGUCCGGUAAGUCCGCUGUGAAAGUCGGGGGCUCAACCCUCGGAUGCCGGUGGAUACUGUCGGGCUUGAGUACGGAAGAGGCGAGUGGAAUUCCUGGUGUAGCGGUGAAAUGCGCAGAUAUCAGGAGGAACACCAAUGGCGAAGGCAGCUCGCUGGGACGUUACUGACGCUGAGACGCGAAAGCGUGGGGAGCAAACAGG
rnacentral:rRNA from 1 species